GAUGAACGCUAGCGGGAGGCCUAAUACAUGCAAGUCGAGCGAGAAGGUCAUCUUCGGAAGACUGGAAAGCGGCGAACGGGUGAGUAACGCGUACGCAACUUACCCUUGAGAGUGGAAUAGCCCUGGGAAACUGGGAUUAAUACCGCAUAGUUUAUAAGGAUGGCAUCGUCUUUAUAAUAAAGCUUCGGCGCUCAAGGAUAGGCGUGCGUUCCAUUAGUUAGUUGGUGAGGUAACGGCUCACCAAGACGACGAUGGGUAGGGGCGUGAGAGCGUGGCCCCCCACACGGGUACUGAGACACGGACCCGACUCCUACGGGAGGCAGCAGUAAGGAAUAUUGGACAAUGGACGGAAGUCUGAUCCAGCCAUCCCGCGUGCAGGAUGACGGCGCUACGCGUUGUAAACUG
rnacentral:rRNA from 1 species